rnacentral:rRNA from 1 species
UACGUAGGUGGCAAGCGUUGUCCGGAUUUAUUGGGUUUAAAGGGCGUGUAGGCGGCAUUUUAAGUCAGUGGUGAAAUACUUCAGCUUAACUGGAGAGGUGCCGUUGAUACUGGGAUGCUUGAGUACUGAUGAGGUAGGCGGAAUGGACGGUGUAGCGGUGAAAUGCGUAGAUAUCUGGAGGAACACCGGUGGCGAAGGCGGCAUCCUGGACCAACACUGACACUGAGGAGCGAAAGCCAGGGGAUCAAACGGG